UACGAUAAUAACAAUAAAAACAACAAUAAUUUUGCAAUCCACGAUAUAUAAGUGUGGCCAUGACCAUAAGUACCGUGAACGGAUCCGAUCACGACACGACACCACCCUUGCGUUGCAAAGUCCAUUGCCGUCAAAGAAAAAGAAAGGAAAGGAAAAAAAAAAAAAAGUCAUAAGAUGGUGAUUUUUAGAGCACCGUCAUUUUAAAUAAAUAAAUUGCAAUAUUUCUUUGACCGUCGUCAGCCAUAACUUCCCUCAUACACGUUUUUGUUUUGUGCCACGUAAUCACUGUAAAUACCAACAAGCAACAAUCAAACAGAGGAGGGACGUACUUGUCAUGAGGAUACUAUGGGUGUGGGUUUUGUGGUUGUGAUUUCGCUGCGACAAGAUGCCGCUUUGGCAGUUCGAAAGAUCAGCGACUUUGAUGUCCUCCAGGUGCAAUGAUGAUUAUUAUGAGGAAGCAACCACUGUAGCACCAACACACCAAAGCAAGAUGGGUCGCCAGGCACCUAUGCCGGGACGAGAUCAGCCAACCCGCGUACGUGUUACGUGCAUACACUGUUGGGCGCGAAUCGGCGGGGGGAGAUCGUUCCAGCAACGCGUCGCAGCGAACCUGAAGGAGCCACGGAAUGCGACUGUUCGAUGCCUAGGUGUGGAGAAAAUGUGGGUGCAUGCUCGUUUCGAAUAUUUUCUAUGAUCAUCAGCCCACUCCAACUUAUUGUACAGAUACUUAGGCUUUGCUGUCAAUAUAAUGCCGAACAACAUAGUGGCCAGAUGUAACUUCCUGCGCGCCUCCAUUUUCAUAAGGCCAGCAGCGUUU